AUUUGGGGCAGGGAUCCUCCAUAAGGACUCACUCUCUCCCUCCUUGGACCCAAGGAGUCUGAGGCUUUCCAGGACUACCUGAGAAAUCCUGCCGGGCCUGCUUGGUCAAAACUGAGGUGACAGUAACGGCACCUGUAUUACAGAGCUGAUGUGAGAACUAGAAGAGUGAAUAUGUGCAACUGCUAGAACAGUGCCCGAGGACCAGCAGGUAUUUCAUAGCGGUAACUACAAUUAUCUUCACCCUCCUGCCUGCGAACCACAGCAUCCUUUGCCACCAGGAAAUAAUAAAUAAAUCUGCAAGAUUCUGUCAUCCCAAGAAGAAGUAGCUCAGUGUCCUCAUGUCUUGGCUGUGGAAGAAAGAAGGGAAGAGAAAGCCAGAGCCAUGUGGUCAGCUUUACACACUGUCAGAAAAGGAACCCAUGACCCCCUGACCCAGGGCAGCAGGGACGGAGGUGAGAAGUUGCCCCAAAGAAGAUUCAGGAAACUCAGCAUGAGCCGCCUGACAUCAAUCAAUAAACCAGGAGGCCACCCUGCAAAGCAGGCUGUAUUGCAUUAUUUGAGCAAGGCUGCUAGACAUCUGGACAUUUCUGUUAGCCUCCAUCCCUCCUGUUGUCAUAAAUUUAAGCUAAUCCUAUGGGGCCCAGGAUCAUAAGAAUAAUCCCCACAUCUGUGUGGGCUUUUCAGCUUUCAAAAGCUCAUUCACGGAAUUAUCUCAUUAGUUCCACUCAAUGCCUGUGGGAGGGACUCUGGGAUGAUCAUCGCCAUUUGGCAGAUAAAUGCGGAAACCCAGAGAAGGAAAGUGACUUUCUCAAGGUCACACAGUAAGGCAGUGGACAAUUAAGAUAAAUGCACCGGGUCUCCUGAUCCCCAGCCUGGGACUCUCUCAUGAGAAUACUGUUGCCUUACAAAGAUGGCCCUGAGACCCAGACAUCUAUCCCACAGCCGCCCAGGGCUAUGGUCCUAAAGAAAUCACUUGUUCACCCCCUUGCCACUGAAUGGGAAUGGAAUAUCAUCAGGAAGCUACAGUGGAAAGGCCAUAGGCUUCACGGUCGAAUUGUCCAGGUUCAAAUCCCAACUUCCUGGUCAUCAACCCCAGACCACGUGGUGAAGGCCUGAGGCCCCUGCAUUUACUCCUGACCCCCAAAGAUGGGAAUGAUAAUUCUGUGGUGUCACUUGCUCUGUCUGCUCUCCAUCUCACCUUCUGACAAUGACUCCCCAUCUUUUGGGAACUGUUUGUCCUCCAACUCCAACUAGUUGGCCCUGAAUGAAGCUUUCCACCAUG